CACAUUUUGAGGAAACGCACUGAAGCUACGUGUUUAAUACAGCAAUUAUGGAAGCACUCGAUGCCACUCCACGUCGUCGUAACAAAACCACAUCGGACGAGGACAGAAAACGAGUGAUAACGGCCUACGAAAAUGGUGUUGCCGGCAAGGAUAUUGCUUUAAUGCUAAAUUUACACCGAGCAACAGUGUAUAGCAUUAUAAAGAAAUUUUAAAAGACUUGGAACGUGGAAGCUGCGAAACGUGGAGGUAACCGUGCUAAGCUGUUACCAGAGGAGGCAGUACAGAGCAUCCGCACAUGGAUUGACGAGGACUGUACCGUCACAUUAAAAGCAUUAGCCGAGAAGGUCCACGAAAGCAUUAUGCAUUUCUAUUUUCUUAGUGCAAUCUACAGCCUAUCUACAAAUACCGG